rnacentral:rRNA from 1 species
AUGCCGUCCAACCGAUACCCGGGAGUGAGACUGCCACAGAUAAGUGCGGUAGUCGAAAGGGAAACAGCCCAGACCACCGGCUAAGGCCCCUAAGUUCAAGCUAAGUGGGAAAGGAAGUGAGGUUCCUCAGACAACCAGGAGGUUGGCUUAGAAGCAGCCAUCCUUUGAAGAGUGCGUAACAGCUCACUGGUCGAGGAGUCUGGCGCCGAAAAUGUAACGGGGCUUAAGUUUGACGCCGAAGCCGUGGAUGUUCAGGUGCAAGGGUAAAGAUCCCACCCCCAAAGGUGGAGCCAAUAGGGAAACCCGCAAUAGGGAAACCCGGCAACGGGCAACCUGACGGUGGGGGAACCUGGCGGCAAAGCCGGCGGGAGAGGGAUUGGAGCCUUUGGAGAACGCCUGGGCGUGGUAGGGGAGCGUUCCUCGGGCAACGAAGGUGAGCCGUGAGGUUCACUGGAGCGCGGGGAAGUGAGAAUCCCGGAAUGAGUAGCGUAAACUAGGGUGAAAAUCCCUGGCGCCGAAAGCCCAAGGUUUCCUACGCAACGUUUAUCGGCGUAGGGUUAGUCGGUCCUAAGCCGUAGGCAAGCGCCGAAGGCGAUGGACAGCAGGUUAAUAUUCCUGCACCGCCGUUGUUUCGCUUUAAAACCAAGGAGGGGUGCGGAAGGGUAGGUAGAGCAUGCCUAUUGGACAUGGUGUGUCCUCAACUGUAGGCGAGUCGGGGCAGGUAAAUCCACUCCGGCGUUAAGCAGAGGGUUGAGGGAAUCGAGCCUUCGGGCUACGAAACUCUGUUGAACCCAAACCGACUAGAAAAGCUUCGUGGUUAUGGAGCAAUGGCGACCGUACCGGAAACCGCCACUGGUGGGCAAGGAUAAAAGUCCUAAGGCGUUCGAGCUAACCUCCGCUAAGGAACUAGACAAAAGAGCCCUGUAACUUUGGGAGAAAGGGCCCCCCGGGGGGUGAAGCCACUAGCUGGUGGAGCGUUCUGGGGGCGCAGAGAAGAAGGCCGGGCGACUGUUUAACAAAAACACAGGUCUGUGCUAAGGGGAAACCCUACGUAUACAGGCUGACGCCUGCCCAGUGCCGGAAGGUUAAGGGGAGUGGUGCAAGCCGCGAACUGAAGCCCCGGUGAACGGCGGCCGUAACUCUAACGGUCAACCGAACGGUCCAACCAGGCCUUGGGCGCAAGCCCUCGGCUCGGAGGCUGUUUAAGGCCGUUGUAAAAUCUGGCUAUAUGCUGGGAAACCCGAGUAUCCGGCGCUACCCGUUGAUCGAAUCUGGGUCAAUUGGUGACAAUGCGUCCGGUGCGGACAAUCAGCAGGAAAGACCAUGGAGGAAAUCCCCGCGCCACGUUCCGGACUCUGUCAAGGAAUGGUCCAUGGACGGGGUGGAACUUCACGGAAUCCUCAGAGACCAUACGCCAGACCCGCUGUCGGAACGUGCGGGAAGAUAUGGUCCGAUCUGUGUGGCGACAUGCAGAGGGCGGCAGAAAUGACCGUCCCCUCCGGUACUCAGCCAAACAGGCAACUGUCUGACCGGGAAUCGGGGAGUAACAAAUUGCCUAAGGUAGCGAAGUCCCUUGUCGGGUAAGUUCCGACCCGCAUGAAUGGUUGAACGACUUGGCCAUUGUCUCGGCGGAGGGCUCGGUGAAAUUGCGGUGCCCGUGAAGACGCGGGCGACCUGCGGCAGGACAAAAAGACCCUGUGGAGCUUUACUGUAGCCUGGUAUUGGGCUGGGAGCCGUCAUGUGUAGGAUAGGUGGGAGGCUAUGAUGCCCCGACGCCAGUCGGGGCGGAGCCGCCGUUGAAAUACCACCCUUGGCUGUUUUUGGUCCUAACCUCAGCGCAACUGAGGGACAGUGCCUGGUGGGCAGUUUAACUGGGGCGGUUGCCUCCUAAAAGGUAACGGAGGCGUCCAAAGGUCCCCUCAGGACGGAUGGAAAUCGUCCAUAGAACGCAUUGGCAUAAGGGAGCUUGACUGCGAGACCUACAAGUCGAGCAGGGACGAAAGUCGGGCAAAGUGAUCCUACGGCACCGUGUGGAAGGGCCGUGGCUUAUCGGAUAAAAGCUACCCCGGGGAUAACAGGCUUAUCUCGCCCAAGAGUUCACAUCGACGGCGAGGUUUGGCACCUCGAUGUCGGCUCGUCCCAUCCUGGGGCUGAAGGCGGUCCCAAGGGUCCGGCUGUUCGCCGGUUAAAGGGGUACGUGAGUUGGGUUCAGAACGUCGUGAGACAGUUCGGUCUCUAUCCGCCGUGGGCGCAGGAGGCUUGAGGGAACCUCUCCCUAGUACGAGAGGACCGGGAGGGACAGACCUAUGGUGUUCCAGUUGUUCCGCCAGGAGCAGCGCUGGGUAGCCAUGUCUGGCAGUGAUAAGCGCUGAAGGCAUCUAAGCGCGAAGCAUCCCCCAAGAUGAGGCCUCCCUCCCCGAUUAACUUCGGGGGUAAGACUGCAGAGAGACUAUCUGCUUGAUAGGCCGGAUGUGUAAGGAGUGUAAGCUCUUCAGCAAACCGGUACUAACCAGUCGAGAGGCUUGACCCA